AAGAGAACAGCAUGCCGCUCAUGUUUACUAAAUACCCUCCAGAGGAGCAGACAAUAGCAGACACCGACUCCUCUCUUCUCCACCCACCACACUGCCCCCACCCCUCCCUCCCUCAGUUUGAGCCCACAAUGAUUUCUUCCCUCAGAUUCAAAAAAUUUAAUCGCAUACAUUUUCUCCAAUAAGACGCAAUCUCUCCAGUAAAUGAUUGUGUCGUCGUAUUGUCCUGCACCCUAAUAAACUGUUGAAUGUAAGACUUUUAGUGGCAGAAAACGGUGGUAACACAUAUAACAUGUUAUAAUAAACACCAAACUGUAGUUUUAACUUUGUGCAGCGCUUGAAUGUCCAAAGUUUUGUCCAAAUCCGCGGUGCGUAAAGGUGCAUUAUCAGCACUCAGUGCGCGCAGUGGCUCCGGGUAUUUCCCCCCCACUGUUCGAGACCCUAGAGCCCCCACAGAGCGAGCUCCCGGCCAGGGCUCCCUCCUUACGGCAGACACGGCUCGGCGCUUCCUAUUACGCCGUCAGCAGACUCUUUCACUGCAGCCUGUGUGUGAUCCGCGUUCCCGAGCCACCCCGCCCAGACCAGGAACAAUGGAAAGGGGCACAAAAUGCGCUACCGUAAGUGUACAUUUCUGAUCAUAAACGCAUGUAAGAUAGAAUGAACGUCGAAAUGACAAACCCGGAUCGAUCUAGAGGUUGGAAUACGUGUAGGAUCGUUUGGUAAAGUUGGAUAAACGCGCUCGGGGCGACAGCGAAUAACGCACGAACAAGACAAUUUCCUAUCGGUAACUAAAACUUAAAACUGUUCUUGGUAAACGCAUUGAAGUCGUUGGUCCGAGUUGUGUUUAAGAGUUGACACCAACGUAAAGUUUGUAUCGGUGUAAGCACUUUUACCCUUUACUCAUUCCAGCUCCAUGUUACCUGUGUCCUCACAUUUAGUAAAGGUUCAGUUUGGGCUUCAGCUUGAUCCGAUUGUUGCUGUUUUAUGGAAAAUUUCAAGAGCCGUUUCAGCCUCAUGCUGUUUAUAAUUCAAACCCAAACUCUACUCCAAUCUCUGUUACUUUAUUCAAAUCACCCCUGCCCCCAUGUUGAAUACGUGACAGUGAAAUUAUAUGGAGCUUAUACAGGCAAUAAUUUGCCCUGUUUUUCCUAUAGGCGAAGCUUAAUUAAGGGACUUAGAAAGAACGCCUCGCAUAGGUGCACGUAGAUCAGGCCUAAAGGCGUAAUUUAAUGCACUCAGGAGUGGCGAGCCGUUUGAAAAAAAAGGCGAUCUGUAUAACGAGACGAAGCACCUCAUCUGAUAAAUAUUCAUACAGCUAAAUGUCUCUAAAUGAUUUGUCUUAAAUGUGGCAAAUGGUGGGCCAAAAUCACACAGCAGACACAUCCCACUCCAACACGGUUACUCAAAGUCCUGUUAAACACUAGCAGCCCGGCUACGGCUGAAAUAGUAGCUCUAGUAGUAAUUCAUGUUAUUAAAAAAUGUCUUUGGAAAUGAUAAUCUACAGGUCCUGGCGUGUGUCAACAGGCGGUGGUCAUAGGAAUAGUCCAUAAAGUCGCUAAAGCUGAAUAAGUGAGUGAAUAGAAAAAAGCCGGCUCUCCUGAUCCACCCAUCAACUAGGAAACAGGUGGCAUUAAAGUACAAAGAUUUUCACUUGAAGGAGAAAAUGCUACAUAAUGAUUUCCAGAUGAAAAUCCGAUGUGAAACUUACCAGACAUGAUGGCUGAGAUGAAGAGAGGCUCCCUGGAAAAGACCUGUGGGACUCCACAACGUCCUUUUCUGCCUCAGCAAAAUGCCCAAGAACGAAAAUUGUGCAAAAGUCUCCAAAAAUCUCAACACAAAUGUCUUACAGCAGAGUCAGAGCAUACAACAAUAUUGUAAUAUAGCUGGGGACAUAUUAGUUUGAGAUUUUCUCCCUCCAUGCCUACUAUUUAAAACCCCUAGAACUCAAUGAUUUGACAAUGAUUUGAUUGCGCGUUAGUUUCAAUUUGAAUAUUCAGAGGCAACUGACUUAUAUCGAUUUUUCACUAAAAAUCACUACGCAUGGACAUUGUAUAUGCUCCACUUUAAUGUAAUAUAAUAGUAUUUUACACUUUGACCAAAAAGAAACCAUACUUUUAUUAAAUUUAUCCUCCUUUUGCAAUAUCAGAGCAUCACACCCCCUCAUUAAGCACUACAGCAUUGGGUGCCUCUUGUGCGCAACUUUAACACCGCAAAUCACCUUAUAUCUGUGACCACACGCUUACUGCGGCCACGCUACAAGCCAGCAAUAUAUUCAAACAUAUUUAUAAGCUUUAUUUAAGAAUUUACACAGAAAUGUGGGAAAGAAGUGGGCGUGGCAAAGACCAGUAGCCAUCUUUGCCAUCACAGGCCUUAAGCUCCUCCAGCAAGUGCUCAGAGUGCACUCACCUGCUGCAGGCUGCAGGGACGAGACUCCGCAGCUCCUGGCGUUUAUAAUAUUCUGUUUUUAGAGACUUUUAUUUAUUUGAAAGAAAAAAAUAAUAAUAAUGAAAAGUUUCCCAGUGAAGAGCCACAGUUUGAUAUUUGCAGUAUAAUAUUUAAAUAUACCUUCUUAUUUCAGCACCAAAUCACUUCUAUCCAAGUGGCCACAGUUGACUGAAUCUAAAACGCAUUCAUUUUUUUAAUAACUUAUAGGAGGUUGCAUCAAGAACUUUGGUAGCUCUUUCUGUGCGUCAGACAGCAACAGUGUAUUCACAUCGACCUGUAUAAAAUGUUGCAAUACACUUGUACUGUUUUUAGAGUUUGGGGCGCACAUGAUAAAUAACAAAAUUAUUAAACAGCAAAAUGCAAACAUUUUACACUAUCUGUGUCCUGUUUAGCCAGCUGUAAACAUCUGGAGCAGUUUGGGCCCUCAAACUGGUCAAACGUUAUUCAUUAUACAUAUUAUAUAUGAGUUAAGUUAUUAUUACUGUAAUUAUGAUGACUGAAAUUAUUAUUAUUCCUGCAACCAUAUGAUUAUUAUUCUGUGUUGCAGUGGCGGUCGUGGUGGUCGCAGCAGUAUCCCCACUCCAUAAAGAAAAUGUAAGAUUUUGACCAAUAGGACAUGUUUGUGUUUCAUAUGUGCUCCUUUAAAAGCGCUCUUUGGUAAUCUCAAGCGCUUUUCAUAAAGUUCUUCAUUACAUUACACACAUUACAAACUCCUGCCUCCCUGUUCUCUGGUCUCCCAUCACAUCCAUGUUGCUGCAGCUCAGCGGCUCCUCGUCUCCUGCUGCAGCAGUGGUGUAGGGGCUCCACCUAGUGGUCCAACAUCAGAACGUCUUCCCAGCUGACCUGUCGUUACGUGCGUUACCAAUGCAUGGAUUUACUUUAUUAUGUUUGAUGAAACGAAUUGGCCAAUAUUAAAGUUUUUCCGUGUUUGCUAUCAGAAUUAUUCUUGAUCCAGAAAUAAAACAUUUCAAAUA